rnacentral:lncRNA from 1 species
UAUAAUAAACUGCUUUUCAGGCUAACACCGACCUAUAUGUUUUGUAUAUUACUCUUCGCGAAACUGCGGCCAUUUUGUGGUGCUGGCCCUGUGUGGUUUUCGAUGCGCGAAGACGACAGGUGUGCAAGAAAUUGGUGGAUAAACUUAUUAUAUAUUAACAACUUUCAUAAAGUUGAACAAAGCGAGGUGAGUAUAUCGAAUGUUGUACUAAAGCAGAAAUAGACUGCAAAAUAAAACAUCGAAUCGAAAUGUCUUGAUCAUGCAUGCAGUUACGAAAGUUCAUGCAAUUUUUUAUUUCCUGUUGAUCUCAGUUAUUCAACAAAACCGUGAAUUUGUUUAAUUAUAUAGUUUUGCGUAGGACCGGCAUGGUAUCUGGCAGCUGAUAUGCAAUUCUUUAUCAUAUCUCCAAUUUUUCUUCUCAUUGCAAAAAGGUAUUGAGAUUAGUCAAAUACAACACGACUACAAAUUUGCAGGUUCCAAAAUGUACAGAAGGUAAAUUGGGUUAUUUUAGAAUAGUGACUCCAAUACGCGCCAAAAAACACAGUCACAUAUAUAUCUAUACUAAUUUUAAAAUAAUAAUUAUUUCAGAUACAAACUUCGGCCGCUACUUUGUGUGGUGGGUGUUAUUACUGUGGCCAGUAUUAUCACGACAGCAUCCUUAAUUGCGGACAAAGACUUAAUUCCAAUAUUUUUAGCCGAUGUCAGGUAC